rnacentral:rRNA from 1 species
UACGUAGGGUGCGAGCGUUGUCCGGAUUUAUUGGGCGUAAAGGGCUCGUAGGCGGCCUGUCGCGUCGGGAGUGAAAGCCCACUGCUUAACGGUGGGUCUGCUUUCGGUACGGGCGGGCUAGAGUAUGGCAGGGGAGACUGGAAUUCCUGGUGUAGCGGUGGAAUGCGCAGAUAUCAGGAGGAACACCGGUGGCGAAGGCGGGUCUCUGGGCCAUUACUGACGCUGAGGUGCGAAAGCGUGGGGAGCAAACAGG